AGAGCCCUAAGUGAUGAGCACCUUCUGACUUUUAUGAAACAAAUAGAAGCUGUAUUUUAGACUUUCCUUAUGUAAUAGAUGAGGAAGGUUUCUAUUGGUUAUUUCAGCUAUGUUAACAUUUCUUUCUUUCCGCCUAUAUCAUUUUUAUAUUUCAGAAAAGCACAGCACGGUUGCAAGCAUUUCAGACACAGUCGUGUCACUUUACCUGUAACAGCUAUGGUUCAGAAGUUCUUUGCUCAAUGGAUUCAGAAAUCGCAGGUUCUGGAAAAUGACAAACCACCUCAAGUUUGGCCACAUGUGGUUUCAACUCCAGUGAAAUCUUGGGAUUAUUCAGCAAAUUUACAUCAAUGGAUUCUGCUCCCUUUUGUAGUUCUCUGCUUCCUGUUGCUCAUUACCAGUAUAGUUCUGGGUGUUCUAUAUAACAGAGCAUCGAGAGA